rnacentral:rRNA from 1 species
GACAGAGGUGCCGAGCGUUAGGCGGAAUCACUGGGCUUAAAGCGUGUGUAGGCGGGUGCCUAAGUACCUUGUGAAAUCCCACGGCUCAACCGUGGAACUGCUUGGUAUACUGGGUAUCUUGAGCCACUUAGGGGCAACCGGAACAAACGGUGGAGCGGUGAAAUGCGUAGAUAUCGGGAGGAACACCAGUGGCGAAGGCGAUCACCUGGGGUUGUUCUGACGCUGAGGAGCGAAAGCUAGGGGAGCAAACGGG